GACGCCCAUUUUCCCUAACCGACGUCGGACGGUUUCCCUUCUCCUUCUCCUUGCGAUUUAAGCCGUGCCCGACUCCCUCCUCCCCUUUCCUCACCGUGCCCUUCUCCCGAACUCACUAUCUCCUCCACCUGAAGCCAGGCCGCUCGACCUCGCGCGCAUGCCCUCACACCUCUGCCGCCGGUGACAAGAGCCCCGAUUCUUCUCAUUUGGCCGACGUGACGUCCACCCUCGAUCCGCCGGCAUCCGAGCCAUAGCGCCGCUGUCAUCGUCACAACCGAUGCCGCAUGGAGUAGUGCCGACCCAACGCCGCCGAACUCGCGUGCCCUAGCCGAAUUCCUUCCACUGCCGGCACCGAUUCCUCCAACACUGAACAACAUCGCGGCCACCCCUCCCCCCAAAUCCAGAGCUGUGCCCUAACCUUCUCCUCUGGCCCCCCUCUUCUUGUCCUCUACACUGUGCGCCGCCUCCCCUGUUGACACGGUGCCCUAGAUCACCGAAAACAAGAAGUUGGAGAAGAUGACAACGAGCGGCAGUAAUCUGACAGUGGGAUUGAAGAGUCCUGGUCUCCAGCAGCGGCUACUCCUUUCGGCGGCACUAUCCCUAGAUGUGGAUCAACAACAGCUGUGAAUUGAGGACCUUGACGCGAGACGAGCAUCUCGACGUCGGAUUUGGACCGGUUUGACCU